AAUCUUCCGCAAUGGACGAAAGUCUGACGGAGCGAUGCCGCGUGAGUGAUGAAGGUCUUCGGAUCGUAAAACUCUGUUGUUAGGGAAGAACAAGUAUCGGAGUAAUAUGCCGGUACCUUGACGGUACCUAACCAUAACGCCCCGUCGAACUACUUGCCAGCAGCCGCGGUAAUCCGUAGGGGGCAAGCGUUGUCAGGAACUAUUGUGCGUAAAGGGCACGCAGGCGGUUAUUUAAGUCUGAUGUGAAAUCUUGUGGCUUAACCACAAGCGGUCAUUGGAAACUGGAUAACUUGAGUACAGAAGAGGAGAGUGGAAUUCCACGUGUAGCGGUGAAAUGCGUAGAGAUGUGGAGGAACACCAGUGGCGAAGGCGGCUCACUGGCUCGGUACUGACGCUGAGGUGCGAAAGCGUGGGGAGCAAACA
rnacentral:rRNA from 1 species